GAUGAACGCUGGCGGCGUGCCUAAUACAUGCAAGUCGAGCGAACAGACGAGGAGCUUGCUCCUCUGACGUUAGCGGCGGACGGGUGAGUAACACGUGGAUAACCUACCUAUAAGACUGGGAUAACUUCGGGAAACCGGAGCUAAUACCGGAUAAUAUAUUGAACCGCAUGGUUCAAUAGUGAAAGACGGUUUUGCUGUCACUUAUAGACGGAUCCGCGCCGCAUUAGCUAGUUGGUAAGGUAACGGCUUACCAAGGCAACGAUGCGUAGCCGACCUGAGAGGGUGAUCGGCCACACUGGAACUGAGACACGGUCCAGACUCCUACGGGAGGCAGCAGUAGGGAAUCUUCCACAAUGGGCGAAAGCUUGACGGAGCAACACCGCGUGAGUGAUGAAGGUCUUCGGAUCGUAAAACUCUGUUGUUAGGAAAGAACAAAUGUGUGAGUAACUAUGCACGUCUUGACGGUACCUAAUCAGAAAGCCACGGCUAACUACGUG
rnacentral:rRNA from 1 species